AGGAAGACUUUGCCCUCCAAAAACCUUGCAGAAUAUAAAGUAAUUCAAAUAUAGCAGCUCUCAUAACCACCUCACUGAAAAUGGUUUGUGUGGAGU